rnacentral:rRNA from 1 species
UGGCGCACGGGUGAGUAACGCGUGGAAAUCUACCUCGGGAUGGGGAAUAACCAUUGGAAACGAUGGCUAAUACCGCAUACGCCGGAAACGGGAAAGCUUUAUGCGUCCUGAGAUGAGUCCGCGUUAGAUUAGAUAGUUGGUGGGGUAACGGCCUACCAAGUCGACGAUCUAUAGCUGGUCUGAGAGGAUGAUCAGCCACACUGGGACUGAGACACGGCCCAGACUCCUACGGGAGGCAGCAGUGGGGAAUAUUGGACAAUGGGCGCAAGCCUGAUCCAGCCAUGCCGCGUGAGUGAAGAAGGCCUUAGGGUUGUAAAGCUCUUUCGACGGGGAAGAUGAUGACGGUACCCGUAGAAGAAGCCCCGGCUAACUCCGUGCCAGCAGCCGCGGUAAU